rnacentral:tRNA from 1 species
GCUGACGUAGCCCAAUUGGAAGAGGCCUUUGUUUGAGGGACAAGGUGUUGGAGGUUCGAGUCCUCCCGUCAGCACCA